AGUGAACGCUGGCGGUAGGCCCAACACAUGCAAGUCGAACGGCAGCACAGUAAGAGCUUGCUCUUACGGGUGGCGAGUGGCGGACGGGUGAGGAGUACAUCGGAAUCUACUUUUUCGUGGGGGAUAACGUAGGGAAACUUACGCUAAUACCGCAUACGACCUACGGGUGAAAGCAGGGGAUCUUCGGACCUUGCGCGAUUGAAUGAGCCGAUGUCGGAUUAGCUAGUUGGCGGGGUAAAGGCCCACCAAGGCGACGAUCCGUAGCUGGUCUGAGAGGAUGAUCAGCCACACUGGAACUGAGACACGGUCCAGACUCCUACGGGAGGCAGCAGUGGGGAAUAUUGGACAAUGGGCGCAAGCCUGAUCCAGCCAUACCGCGUGGGUGAAGAAGGCCUUCGGGUUGUAAAGCCCUUUUGUUGGGAAAGAAAAGCAGCAGGUUAAUACCCCGCUGUUCUGACGGUACCCAAAGAAUAAGCACCGGCUAACUUCGUG
rnacentral:rRNA from 1 species